UGUCUAUUGUGAUGAUCACAGUAACUUAGAUGUUAACCUUAUCAGCCUUAUCCUGUGUGACUAUUUUUCAAGCUCAGUUAGAUUCCUGGGGACAGGAGCAAUCCAAGAUGCAGGACUUUCCCAGGCCUCCAAUUUAAGGUGAUCAUGAGGUGAAAUGGAGCCAAGAAGAGCCAAGUAAGAACCACCAAAGGCUCAUGCUGUCAUAAAGACCAUGUCCUUUUAGCAGAGGAUGCAUAGGAGGCCAAGAGAAGUUGCAUAACAGUGCUAUGACACGUUUUCCCAUGAGAAGCACAGCCUUGCUUUCCAGACUUUCCAAGAGUCUUCUCUAGUGGCUGUGCCAAUACAUUCUGCACUGCACCCCAAGACAGCUGGAGGCCAAGUAAUCUGACCUACCUGUAGCUAUGUGAAACCUUCAGCAACUGUUGACUUCAGAAGACAAAGAUCAUGCUGUAAGGCUGAAUUACUCUUUUGAGACGGGAAAUGAACAGAAAUAGGAUUCAAAGCUGAUGCCCAGAAAAGGACACAAUGAAAUUUAGCAUUGAUAAAUUGCUCAGGGCCUUUUGUAAAAUCCCAGCCCAUGAUAUCAGGACCUUCUUUCCUUGUUCUGAAGAUCUUGAUGUUGGACUCAGAUGUUUCAUCAGUCUCUAGCUGGGAUCUGCUUGCCACUGCAUCCAAAUCCCACAUCUUCCAGGGCAGAGAAGUUGCUGUGGAUGCUUCAGCACCAUAAGACAUGAUUAUGAAGCGAGAAAGACAAACUUCUACCACAGUUAUCACUGUGCCUUCACCUAGAAAAUUACAAGGACUGUGUUUGUAUCUGUCUCACUCCUGUUAAGUUGGAUCUGCGGUAACUCCUACACCCCUGGUUUUGAGCUUUAGUCCUGAAAGGCUUGAUUCACCACCAAAUACCUUCCAUUUCAUUGUCAUAAUUCCAUUGAUUUCAGCUAAAUUCUGUGAAGUUAUUUUGCGAUGAUAGAGCAGUAAUUUAAAAAAAAAAAAUCCUGUAAAAGUCUUAUGGAUCCUUUUUUAUUUUAAAAAGUUCAUUUUAGUGGUUCUGUCUCUUAAGAAUUAAAAUGA